rnacentral:rRNA from 1 species
UACGGAGGUUCCAAGCGUUGUUCGGAAUUACUGGGCGUAAAGGGAGCGCAGGCGGAGCGGUAAGUCUAAAGUGGAAUCCCGGGGCUCAACCUCGGACGUGCUUUGGAUACUGCUGUUCUUGAGUUCGCGAGAGGAAAGCGGAAUUCAGGGUGUAGCGGUGAAAUGCUUAGAUAUCCUGAGGAACACCAAUGGCGAAAGCAGCUUUCUGGCGCGUUACUGACGCUGAGGCUCGAAAGCGUGGGGAGCGAAC